AACGAACGCUGGCGGCAUGCCUAACACAUGCAAGUCGAACGAGACCUUCGGGUCUAGUGGCGCACGGGUGCGUAACGCGUGGGAACCUGCCCUUAGGUUCGGGAUAACUCCCCGAAAGGGGUGCUAAUACCGGAUAAUGUCUUCGGACCAAAGAUUUAUCGCCUUUGGAUGGGCCCGCGUUGGAUUAGCUAGUUGGUAGGGUAAAAGCCUACCAAGGCGACGAUCCAUAGCUGGUCUGAGAGGAUGAUCAGCCACACUGGGACUGAGACACGGCCCAGACUCCUACGGGAGGCAGCAGUGGGGAAUAUUGGACAAUGGGCGAAAGCCUGAUCCAGCAAUGCCACGUGAGUGAUGAAGGCCUUAGGGUUGUAAAGCUCUUUUACCCGGGAUGAUAAUGACAGUACCGGGAGAAUAAGCUCCGGCUAACUCCGUG
rnacentral:rRNA from 1 species